GGGGACGAAUUUGGUUUCGACUGUUGUAGUUUAAGUGUGGUGGCAUGUAGGGGUGAGGGACCUCUUAAAAACCUUCAAAACAAUAAACGCUAACAACGAAUUAGCACUAGCAGCUUAAUCUCUGCUACGGAUAAAAGGCUUACUCUCCCGGUGGCUUUUUUUCUGACGUAAACGGGAGACGUGAUUCAUCGGUGGACGGUUCUCGAUGCAUCAUGUAUAUGAAUCGGAUUGGAAAAACAUACCUGCUUGUGGGUUAAGGUUUUCUGAAAUUUUAAAUCACAAGACAAACAUGUAGAGGCCCCAUCGAGGCACAAUAGGACCCGGGUUCGAACCCCGGCGUCUCCAUGA
rnacentral:tmRNA from 1 species